rnacentral:rRNA from 1 species
AGUGAACGCUGGCGGCAGGCCUAACACAUGCAAGUCGAGCGGCAGCGGGUCCCCGCGAGGGGAUGCCGGCGAGCGGCGGACGGGUGAGGAACACAUCGGAAUCUGCCUGGUUGUGGGGGAUAACGUAGGGAAACUUACGCUAAUACCGCAUGCGACCCUGAGUCGACGGACUGGGGGUGAAAGUGAGGGACCUUCGGGCCGUCACGCGACCAGAUGAGCCGAUGUCGGAUUAGCUAGUUGGCGGGGUAACGGCCCGCCAAGGCGACGAUCCGUAGCUGGUCUGAGAGGAUGAUCAGCCACACUGGGACUGAGACACGGCCCAGACUCCUACGGGAGGCAGCAGUGGGGAAUCUUGGACAAUGGGCGCAAGCCUGAUCCAGCCAUGCCGCGU